AGUGAACGCUGGCGGUAGGCCUAACACAUGCAAGUCGAACGGCAGCACAGUAAGAGCUUGCUCUUACGGGUGGCGAGUGGCGGACGGGUGAGGAAUAUAUCGGAAUCUACUUUUUCGUGGGGGAUAACGUAGGGAAACUUACGCUAAUACCGCAUACGACCUACGGGUGAAAGCAGGGGAUCUUCGGACCUUGCGCGAUUGAAUGAGCCGAUGUCGGAUUAGCUAGUUGGCGGGGUAAAGGCCCACCAAGGCGACGAUCCGUAGCUGGUCUGAGAGGAUGAUCGGCCACACUGGAACUGAGACACGGUCCAGACUCCUACGAGAGGCAGCAGUGGGGAAUAUUGGACAAUGGGCGCAAGCCUGAUCCAGCCAUACCGCGUGGGUGAAGAAGGCCUUCGGGUUGUAAAGACCUUUUGUUGGGAAAGAAAAGCAGCAGGUUAAUACCCCGCUGUUCUGACGGUACCCAAAGAAUAAGCACCGGCUAACUUCGUG
rnacentral:rRNA from 1 species